AUUGAACGCUGGCGGCAUGCCUUACACAUGCAAGUCGAACGGCAGCAUGGAGAGCUUGCUCUCUGAUGGCGAGUGGCGAACGGGUGAGUAAUGCAUCGGAACGUACCGUGUAAUGGGGGAUAACGUAGCGAAAGUUACGCUAAUACCGCAUACGACCUGAGGGUGAAAGCAGGGGAUCGCAAGACCUUGCGUUAUACGAGCGGCCGAUGUCAGAUUAGCUAGUUGGUGAGGUAAAGGCGCACCAAGGCGACGAUCUGUAGCGGGUCUGAGAGGAUGAUCCGCCACACUGGGGAUGAGACACGGCCCAGACUCCUACGGGAGGCAUCAGUGGGGAAUUUUGGACAAUGGGGGCAUCCCUGAUCCAGCCAUGCCGCGUGAGUGAAGAAGGCCUUCGGGUUGUAAAGCUCUUUCGGCCGGGAAGAAAUCGCACAGGCUAAUACUCUGUGUGGAUGACGGUACCGGCAUAAGAAGCACCGGCUAACUACGUGCCAGCCGCCGCGGUAA
rnacentral:rRNA from 1 species